CAUUAUUGUAAUUAACGGUCAUUUGGGGUGUCCAAGACCUUCUGGAGUUGGCCUGGGCUAUUUGAGCUGUUGGUGUGCAUUUGACGUUUUCCGACUUCUUCCCUGAGUUCAAGUGGUCAGCCUCAUGCUGGCUGGUGUGCCUAGAACAUUCUUCCCGGCCUGGAGCUUUUUUUUUUUUUUGAAAAGAACACUUAUUAAAAUGUCUGCAGCUUUAAAAGUUGAGAGUAAAAUAACGAACUCCCAUAUACCCAUCAUCUAGAUUUUUAACAUUUUUGCUUCAUCGUUUUUUCUUUGUGGAAGGAUUCUCAAGCCAAUCCCAGACACCAUAACAUUCCCCUCCCAAAUAUUUCCGACUGCAUCUCUCAGAAAUAAAGACAUUUCUUGCAUAACCACAAGACCAUCGCCACGAUUCACAAACCCAACAGUAACUCUCAGUAUCAUCUAAUACUCAAACCAUAUUCAGAUUUCCCCACUUGAGUUCCUGUCGUGGCUCAGUGGUUAACGAAUCCGACUAGGAACCAUGAGGUUGCAGGUUCGAUCCCUGGCCUUGCUCAGUGGGUCAAGGAUCCGGCCUUACCAUGAGCUGUGGUGUAGGUCGCAGACGCGGCUCGGAGCCUGCAUUGCUGAGGUUCUGGCAUAGCCAGUGGCUACAGCUCCAAUUGGACCCCUAGCCUGGGAACCUCCAUAUGUCACAGGUGCAACUCUAGAAAAAGGCAAAAAACAACAACAACAACAACAACAACAACAACAAAAUUGGCUAUUUUAGGGGUCAGGAUAUCUGCAGGGAGCUGGGGAAAAAUAAUUGCUGCUAGUUACCAAGAGCUGAUGAAGCGAGUCUAAAGUAGGGAGGUGGGUUUUGAGUUCGGGUUUGUGAGAAGAGGGCCAAUCUGCAGGGGCUUAGAGAUGUCUCUGUCUUAGAGACAGAUGCUCUUUUACUUUCUUCUCUUUGCUUUGAUCUGCAGAGGCAAGGAGGCCAGGCGUGUGACUUCUAGAUCCCCAGUGGCUUUCAUGUGGGAGUAUGUAUCUGUUAGAAGAUAUUUAUAAAGCAGCUAAGUUGCCUGAGGUCGGCAAGGGAGGCCUCGGCCCCAGGGCCUCUUGGCUGUGGGUGUUCUAGUGUCUGGGCUGCAUGUUUUAUUCUCCACCGGCUUUCCUUUCUCCCUCUGUUAAUAAUCCAGCUUCCAUCCAGGCUUUGUGGGGGGAAGUAUUCCUUGGAGCUCCAGGCUCUGGGAGCUCACACGCGCACACACACACACACAUACACCUAGUCCCCUUGGGUGGCCUGGUUUCUUGCCAGAGGUAUGAUGAAUAAAUAUUGAUGUGCUGUGCCUGCCCCCCCUUGCAGCCCUGCCUCCACACUCAUCCUUCACGUAGGUGUUUCAAACAUGUUACAGGCUUCUAAUUUAGCUUCUCCAUCGAAAUCAAAGGUCCCUCACUGCAAUUUAAAUGCCACAGUGUACCCGUGGCUGGGGCUGACGUGGAUUGGAAAGUAGAGCUGUUCUGCAUCACGCAGCAUCAGCUGGACCACCAUAUGGCCCACAAUGCGGUGCUGAAAUGGGCUGCCAGCUUCAAGCUGGGCUGAGGAUGGAAUCGUGAGGCUGCCAGGAGGGGAGGGCUCUUCUAGGCAGGGACCUGGUUGUCAGGGGCUUCUGGGGGCUUUGGACCACUGGUUCAGGGCUUGGGACUAAGCAGCCACACUAUGUACAGAGAUGCCUUAGGUGACCCCCAAGGAGAGGGGACGGAGCUUGGACUCCAUUCAGCCCAGCACAGUCCUUCUGCUGUCCCCACCCCCUGAUAGCCCCCUUUGUGCAUCUCUUGUGGUCCCCAGCUCCAUCAGGGCACCAACCACCCUGGAUUAUAAAGGGCUCUUGCCUUGUCCUUCUCCUUCACUUGACAGGAAGAUGCCAGGGCCAGCGAUGUCCACCGUAUUGUCAUGUGGCCCACAGUGGCACUUAGUAAAGGUGCUGCAAAUACGUCACUGAAACCCAGGAAAUGGAGAGCAGGGAAGUGUCUUUGUGAUGGAUUAGGUUCAGCACUCCGUAGAGAGGCACAUCAGAGAUGGUUCUAAGCGUCCAACCUGCCGAUGACAUGGGGCUUCAUUUUAAUGUGACUGCUCCUAUCUUCUGUCUUGCUGAGAAACCCUCAUCCACGUCCUGUUUCUCACCUGUUCCUGCCUGGCAAAUCCCCACGAUAUUUAGUCCUCGGCUUUCUUAUGGCAGUUAGCAGGCCGUUUGGAAUAUUUCAGAUGUAACUUUGUCUUAGUCCUGAUCUGUAUUUACAGUGCGUGAGGGCAGCAUUUGCAUUUGAUUUCUCUUUGCAUCUUUCUUAGCCUUGGCACUGCAACUGACACAUACUAACAGGGACUCAGAUCUAGUUGUCCAUUGAGAUGCCAGGCUGCAUUUGGUGAGUGCUAAACAAAUGGCUCAGACAGUGGAUUUUUUUUUUUUUCACGUUCAGGGGAGGGGAGAGCUCCGUGGAUGCUGGAGGCAUUAGAAGAACCCUCCUAUGGGGGGUUGGAACUGAUUGGCAGGUGGAGAAUUGGGGAAGAUGGAGGGAGAGGUGCAGGAGGAGGACGGGCAGGAGAAGGAUGAAGAGGGAGAACAGGUUCGGUGUUGGCAAGAUCCGGAGAGACCUUGAAUCUCCACUGCUGGAUGUAAUUAAAAAGGUGUGGCUAAUUGGUUUAGAACCACAACUUCUGGGUGUUUACAAGACACACAGUGAACUGCCAAGAACUAUAUAGACUGACCACAGGGAAGGGUGGCUACAAAAUUCUUAAAACAUGAUGCUCAUUCCAAGUUCCUGGUGAGACUGAUGGGGGUGAGUCAGGUUGAAGCCGAGAUAAACAUUUACUUAUCAGAUAAAGAGCCACUCUAUCAUCUAGGGUCUUGGACUUUGAAAGCAUGUCUUAAAAUACCAGAUAAUAGCAGAAAGGAAGAAGAGGAUAAAGGGACUCUUGUCCCUGGGCUCUGGUGGUUUCACUGGAAAAGAAAUAUUGUGGUGGGUUGGAGAAGAUGGAAAAGUACAAAGUUCCAGGCUUCGAAAUGUGGUGAUUGUACAAUUGAGUUGGAAAACAGUUUGGCUCUGUCUUAAAAAGUUAAACAUAAACCUACCAUUUGAUCCAGCCAUUCCAUUCCUAGGUAUUUACUCAAGAGAAAUGAAAACAUAUGUCUCUACAAGGUCUUGCCCAGGAAUGUUCACAACGUCUUUAUUUGCAACAGUCCCAAGCUGGACACAAUGUGAAUGUCCAUCAAGUGAUGGGGGGAUAAACAAAUUGUGGUAUAUCUGUACAAUGGAAUACUAUUUAGCAAUAAAGAGGAAGAAAUGGUGGAAUCUCAAAAUAGUUAUAACUGGAUGGAAAAAGCCAGGUUCAAAAAAUGCGUACUAUAUGAUUCUAUCCACAUAAAAUUCUUGAAAGUGCAAACUAAUCUAUAGUGGCAGGAAGUAAAACAGUGGUUAUCUCAGAAUGAACUAUGCAGAAAGGGCAGGAGGAGUUCAUCGUAAAGGUGGAUGAGGAAAAUUUGGGGGCUGCAGGAUAUGUUCAUUAUCUUGAUGAUAGGGAUGGUUUUACAGGUGUACCUGUGUGUCAAAACGUAGGAGAGUUCACUCUUUGAAGGUGCCCAAUUUAUUGUCUGUUAAUUAUACCUCAUUAAAGCUGCUACAAAUAGAUAAAAGUGGUGAUUGAGAGAGUCAGUGCAGACUAAAUUAAACAAGUCAUAACUGCAAACUUACCCAUUCCUAAACUAGAAUGAAUUCAUUUCGGUGGAAACGAGAGGAGACAAAACAGACAACUUCAAGGAGGUUAGGAUAGCAGGGAAGGGCCAUUGUUAAAAGGGAGCACAAUGGGAGUUCCCGCUGUGGCUCUUCAGGUUAAGAACCCGACGUAGUAUCCCUGAGGAUGUGGGUUCAAUCCCUGGCCUCACUUAGUGGGUGAAGGAUCCAGCAAGCUUCAUCAUAGGUCACAGACGUGGCUCAGAUCUGGUGUUGCUAUAGCUGUGGCAUAGACUGGCAGCUGCAGCUCUGAUUCAACCCAUAGCCCGGGAACUUCUGUAUACCACAGGUGUGGCCCU
rnacentral:lncRNA from 1 species